UGCUGCUGAAGAGGACCAGACCGCCUGAGAACUCCGGCCUCUGGGCCACCUGGACGAGCUGGAUCCUACCCCCGAGCUUCGACCUUGAGAGGCAUCUCUAGCCUUUCACGCCUUGGAGCAUCCUGAGAUCAUGGUGGCAGGGGCAUCUCCAUAGGCUCUUUUAACAUCCCACUUUCCCCAUGCUGGCCCAGAGGGAGAGACCCAGGACAGAACUCUCCAUGCCGCCUCCCCUGAGCCCCACAGCUGGAGUCUUGCUUCCAAUAAAACAAACACAAAAAUGGCUCUGUCCCUGGGUUUUUUCCUAACCACUUGCCUGUGUAGAGACUGCUCUGGUCUGCCCCCUUGUGUCUCAGUCCCCUCCAGCCUGGAAUCCUUAGCUUUUGGAGUCUUAUGGGUCAGGCACAGAAACUGGACAGCUUUGAAAUGGUGCUGGGAGCACCUUACCCAGUGCCUGGUUCCUCCCUCUUUCUCAGCCCUCCCUGGCUAGCUCCAGUAGCUUCAGGGCUUGUGGCCAGAAGGGGACCUUGGUCACCUUAUGUGUUACCACUAAGGGAAAGGGAGCAGCAUACUGCUUUUCUGGAAGGGGGAGGAAGGGAAGCAUCAGUGAACUAUCCUGGGGGUCACUGCCAAGGGUGGCAGAUCCAACUGGGCUCCCUAAGCCUGCAGCCUCCUUCCAAUAAACAGCAGACGGCUGGCCCAGAGCCCCCCAGCCCCAUGGAUAGAAUCUACCCUUCACUGCUCCCUCGCUCUCUCUGA
rnacentral:lncRNA from 1 species